rnacentral:rRNA from 1 species
AACGAACGCUGGCGGCAUGCCUAACACAUGCAAGUCGAACGAAGGCUUCGGCCUUAGUGGCGCACGGGUGCGUAACGCGUGGGAAUCUGCCCUCUGGUACGGAAUAACUCAGGGAAACUUGAGCUAAUACCGUAUAAUGACUUCGGUCCAAAGAUUUAUCGCCUGAGGAUGAGCCCGCGUCGGAUUAGCUAGUUGGUGGGGUAAAGGCUCACCAAGGCGACGAUCCGUAGCUGGUCUGAGAGGAUGAUCAGCCACACUGGGACUGAGACACGGCCCAGACUCCUACGGGAGGCAGCAGUGGGGAAUAUUGGACAAUGGGCGCAAGCCUGAUCCAGCAAUGCCGCGUGAGUGAUGAAGGCCUUAGGGUUGUAAAGCUCUUUUACCCGGGAUGAUAAUGACAGUGCC